GUGAGGUAACGGCUCACCAAGGCAUCGACGGGUAGCUGGUCUGAGAGGACGAUCAGCCACACUGGGACUGAGACACGGCCCAGACUCCUACGGGAGGCAGCAGUAGGGAAUCUUGCACAAUGGGCGAAAGCCUGAUGCAGCGACGCCGCGUGGGGGAUGAAGGCCUUCGGGUUGUAAACCCCUUUCAGUAGGGACGAAAAUGACGGUACCUACAGAAGAAGCUCCGGCCAACUACGUGCCAGCAGCCGCGGUAACACGUAGGGAGCAAGCGUUGUCCGGAUUUAUUGGGCGUAAAGAGCUCGUAGGUGGUUCCGUAAGUCGGAUGUGAAAACUCAAGGCUCAACCUUGAGACGCCAUCCGAUACUGCGGUGACUUGAGUUCGGUAGAGGAGUGUGGAAUUCCUGGUGUAGCGGUGAAAUGCGCAGAUAUCAGGAGGAACACCAGUGGCGAAGGCGCCACUCUGGGCCGUAACUGACGCUGAGGAGCGAAAGCAUGGGUAGCAAACAGGAUUAGAUACCCUGGUAGUCCAUGCCGUAAACGUUGGGCACUAGGUGUGGGUCUCAACUAACGAGAUCCGCGCCGUCGCUAACGCAUUAAGUG
rnacentral:rRNA from 1 species